CCCCUCUCAGGAUGGCACCUGGAGAGUUUCCAGUACUCUACCAGCCUUGACUAUGGGAGGGAGAGUCAGGCAGAGGCCUACCCAUUCCAUUCCUAGCUUGCAAACAAGGGCACGGGCAAACAAGUGCAUACACACACGCACAUUCAUUCCAUUCCUAGCUUGGCCAGUGCCUAGCGAGUGGAAGGCAAUCUGCUACAAGU
rnacentral:snoRNA from 1 species